UGGGCUGGCUUGCUACUCUGGUGUCAAAAGAUGCAGAGCUGUGCCCCACGGACUCUGAAUGCCACUCUGAGAACACUUGUUUUCAAGUUGAGCAUCUCUACAUCCGUGCUUCCUGGGGAAAUUACCCUCAUUAGGCUCGCCAGCAUCACCUGACCCGAGGCGGGGGGUGAUAAUGGUGUGUGCAGAGCAUCUGCUGGGAGUUGGGCAGGAUGCUGCACGUUUGAGUGUCACCUCAUCCACCCUCUGAGGAACCUUGUGAGGCUGGGAUUGCUGUUAUCUGCAUCUUUGCGAUGAGCUGGGAGCCGAAAGAGUUGCAUUGUCAGUAUGUGUCACCCCGAGGCCCCUGCCUGUGCUGCUGUUGGGAGCUACAGAACCUUCGGGAGUUGAGGCCUGAGAAGAGGAUCUUAGGCCAUCUGGGACAUGUCCUUGAAGAGAUAUUGGGACCUGAAGCCCCUUCCUCCCCUCCCCCACAUCCCCUGCUUCUUGCUACAAGGUGAACACUUGUUCGAUACAAGGUGAACAGACAGUGACCCUGAAGUGACAGUAUGUGCUACUGUCAUGGCUUAUGGUGUUAACACAGGCCCAAAGAAGCAAGGCCAAGUAACCAUGGACUAAAACCUCUGUGAGCCAAGGUAUCUCUCAUUCCCUUAAAGUUGAUUGCCUCUGCUCUUUCGUCACAGUGAUGGAAAGCUGACUAACACAGAGGGGAACUUCUCCAGGGCACAGCACCCGUUGGUGGCAGCGCUAACUUUGGAGCCUAGGUCUCCUGACCUCUAAGGCCACUCUUGCGUUAUCCUUCCCAGGUGUGCUAAGUAAAAUUUGGAAUUCAAACCACAGGUUCUGUGACUG
rnacentral:lncRNA from 1 species